AAGCGCUUGCAACCAGACUUGCAUGCGGUUGAUCAUCCGGUGUUCUCACCGGUGCACUUGACCGUGUACAGGCCAGCAUCGGUUUUGACGGCCGGUUAAAGGCCUUGGGAAUGUAUCUUCCUCCGGGAAGACUUAUAGCCCAGGGCGCCAUGCGGCCCGCCGGGACCGAGGAACGCGCUUCGUGCUCGGAUGUUGGCGUAAUGGUUGUCAGCG
rnacentral:rRNA from 1 species